rnacentral:rRNA from 1 species
AUGAUCAGCCUCAUCUUCGUCGGCGUCCGCCUGGAGCAGCAGUUCGGAUUCUGGAAGGUCGGCCUGGUCUACCUCUUCUCGGGGCUGGGCGGGAGCGUGCUCUCGGUGCUCUUCAUCAGGAAUGGCGUCUCCGUCGGCGCCUCCUGCGCGCUCUUCGGCCUCCUCGGGGCCAUGCUGUCGGAGCUCAUCACCAACUGGACCAUCUACACCAACAGGCUGGCGGCCAUGGCGAACCUGAUAAUCAUCGCCGCCAUCAACCUGGCGCUGGGGAUACUGCCCCACGUCGACAACUUCGCGCACAUCGGCGGGUUCCUCACCGGCUUCCUCCUCGGCUUCGUGCUGCUGAUCCAGCCCCGGUUCGGAUGGCUGGAGCAGCCCUUCGGCGGCAAGACCAAGUCCAAGUACACGGCUUGCCAGAUCGUCCUCCUGGUCGUCGCCCUCCUCCUAGCCAUUGCAGGGCUUGCCGUAGGGUUGCUGAUGGUGUUCCGCGGGGUGAACGGCAACGACCAUUGCAGCUGGUGCCACUACUUACCUGCGUCCCGACGUCGCACUGGAAGUGUGACAACUAAUAAAAAAUAA